GUAGGGAAUAUUGGUCAAUGGACGAAAGUCUGAACCAGCCAUUCCGCGUGCAGGAAGAAGAUUCUAUGGAUUGUAAACUGCUUUUAGCAGAGAAGAAACGCCUUCAUUGAUGAGGGUUUGACGGUAUCUGCGGAAUAAGCACCGGCUAACUCCGUGCAAGCAGCCGCGGUAAUACGGGGGGUGCAAGCGUUAUCCGGAAUCACUGGGUUUAAAGGGUGAGUAGGCGGGACAUUAGGUCAGUGGUGAAAGUCUGUUGCUUAACGAUAGAAUUGCCGUUGAUACUGAUUUUCUUGAAUUGGGUUGAGGUUAGCGGAAUGUGACAUGUAGCGGUGAAAUGCAUAGAUAUGUCAUGGAGCACCAAUUGCGAAGGCAGCUAGCUGGGCCUUGAUUGACGCUGAGGCACGAAAGCGUGGGUAGCGAACAGGAUUAGAUACCCGUGUAGUCC
rnacentral:rRNA from 1 species